AUGUGACAGAUUAAUGUAUUAAAUUUAAGAUUUGACAAUGAAUCUAUUCCUUUAGAA
rnacentral:tRNA from 1 species